GUCAGGAUGGCCAAGGAGUCUAAGGUGUCAGACUCAAGCUUCCAUACCUUAUGUCUGAAUGGGUGUUCUGGUCCCUGAAUGGAAGUGUGGGUUUGAAUCCCACUUCUUGUA
rnacentral:tRNA from 1 species